rnacentral:rRNA from 1 species
AUUGAACGCUGGCGGCAGGCCUAACACAUGCAAGUCGAGCGAGCGGCGGACUGGUGAGUAAUGUCUGGGAAACUGCCUGAUGGAGGGGGAUAACUACUGGCAACGGUAGCUAAUACCGCAUACCAUCAGAUGUGCCCAGAUGGGAUUAGCUAGUAGGUGGGGUAACGGCUCACCUAGGCGACGAUCCCUAGCUGGUCUGAUAGGAUGCCCAGCCAAACUGGAACUGAGACACGGGCCAGAAUCCUACGGGAGGCAGCAGUGGGGAAGAUUGCACAAGGGGCGGAAGCCUGAUGCAGCCAUGCCGCGUGUGUGAAGAAGGCCGUCGGGUUGUAAAGCACUGUCAGCGGGGAGGCGUUACCCGCAGAAGAAGCACCGGCUAACUCCGUGCCAGCAGCCGCGGUAAUUC